AGAGGGAGCCACAACUUGACCUGACCGGCUAGGGUAGCUGGGUUAGCCAGGUAUUGUUCAAGAAUUCCUCAGUUCAGACGGGACAUCCCGACAAACUCAUUCAACUGCCAUCCGACCCAAGCAGUAACACACAAACAACAUGGAUGCCAUCAGGAAGAAGAUGAAGUCCUUGAAGGACGAGACUGAUCAGCUCUACGCCGUCAUUCAGAGGUUUGAAGAUAACACCAAAGAGUCCAACAGAGUAGCCGAUCAAGCUGAUGUUGAUAUCAGAGACUACGGAAAAAAGGUUCACGGCUUUGAGAUUGAGUUUGAUGAAACAAAUGACAAACUUAACAAGGCCCUUGAGUCAUUGGAGGAGAAAGAGAAACACCUGAAGGAGGUUGAAGCUGAUAUUGCUGCCCUGUCCCGUAGGAUCAUGUUGAUGGAGGAGGAGGCUAAGAAAUCAGAACAAACACUCGCAAAUACAGUCACAAAGCUAGCCGUUACCUCCAAGGAAGCUGAUGAUGUUCUCAAGAAGGUCAAGGUUGUAGAGUCUAAAUGCAUGAACAAUGAAGUUACCCUCGAAGAAUUGGAUAACAAUCUAAGACAAACCACCAAGAUGGCAUCAGACAACGAACAGAAGCUUGAUGAGCUCAGCAGAAAGCUUGGAGUCCAAGAAGAGGAGCUUAAGCGUGCUAUUGAGCGCGCAGAACUGGCUGAGAACAAGCUCAAGGGAAUCGAGGAGGAGCUACAAGCUGUUGGUGAGAACAUGAAGCAACUUGAACUGUCUGCUGAGAAGGCCGUGGAGAGAGAAGAAAAGCUCAAGGACAAAAUCCUUAAUAUUCAGCACAAAUACAAAGCAGCUGAGGGCAGGUAUGAGUAUGGAGAGAUGAAUAUCACUAAGCUGAACCAGAGAAUUGAUGAUAUUGAGGAUGAGAUCUACAGAGAGAAACUCAAGAUUAAGAAGGUUGCGGACGAACUGGGAGAGACUUUCGAUGACAUGCUUGCUCACUAUUAAAAAGAUAACAUACAAAUUCAAUUAUAUGGAUGACCAUCAGCGAAUUAGACAUUCAACAUUUGAGAUUGUCAGCUGACCCAGAAACGAAUCCAAAAUAAUAGUUUUCUUUUCAAUUUGGAAAUAAAUAAAAUACAUUGAAUAUAUUUUCAUUUGUGUA